CCGGCGCACGGGUGAGUAACACGUAUCCAACCUGCCGUCUACUCUUGGCCAGCCUUCUGAAAGGAAGAUUAAUCCAGGAUGGGAUCAUGAGUUCACAUGUCCGCAUGAUUAAAGGUAUUUUCCGGUAGACGAUGGGGAUGCGUUCCAUUAGAUAGUAGGCGGGGUAACGGCCCACCAAGCCUUCGAUGGAUAGGGGUUCUGAGAGGAAGGUCCCCCACAUUGGAACUGAGACACGGUCCAA
rnacentral:rRNA from 1 species